GGACGCUGCGCGGCGCCGCCUCUGCCUGCCCGAGGAGCCGCUUUGCUGCGGGAGCCGCGCUCCGCCCGCUGCCGGGAGCGCGGCUUCUCAUUUUCCCGAGCUCCUCGCUCGUAGCGGUUUUGAGGCGGUUUUGAGGAAUUGACGGGAUCGUUUUCUUGUGUGCGCCGCCGUGGUGUACUUCUCGGUUGUUACGGUUCUUGCUUCAGAUGCCGUGGAUAUGCUGGCUGUUCUGAUGGAGGGCACUGAUGGCUCAGGUGAAGAAAUUGGGCUCUCUUGAAAUGAAGACGUGAUUAUCCAAGCAUUUCCCUCCAGUGCUGUUGUCCCUGCUGCAUUAAAAGCCAGGAAUAUACUGUUGCUUCUGUCUGAAAAUGGAACAGGAGCAGGCGUCGUGGAGUACCUUGGUGCUGUUUUCACUGACCUCCUGCGCUCUCCGAGAGAGCCCCUCGCUCUCU
rnacentral:lncRNA from 1 species